AGCGAACGCUGGCGGCAGGCUUAACACAUGCAAGUCGAGCGGGCACUUUCGGGUGUCAGCGGCGGCCGGGUGAGUAACGCGUGGGGACGUGCCCUCUUGUUCGGAAUAACUCAGGGAAACUUGAUCUAAUACCGGAUACGCCCUCUUGGUGAAAGGCUUGCGGCCGGAGGUUCGGCUCGCGUCUGAUUAGCUAGUUGGUGAGGUAACGGCUCACCAAGGCGACGAUCAGUAGCUUGUCUGAGAGGAGGUUCAGCCACACUGGGACUGAGACACGGCCCAGACUCCUACGGGAGGCAGCAGUGGGAAUAUUGGACAAUGGGCGCAAGCCUGAUCCAGCCAUGCCGCGUGAGUGAUGAAGGCCUUAGGGUUGUAAAGCUCUUUUAUCCGGGACGAUAAUGACGGUACCGGAGGAAUAAGCCCCGGCUAACUUCGUG
rnacentral:rRNA from 1 species